rnacentral:lncRNA from 1 species
AAAUAAAUAAAUAAAUAAAGUAAUUGGUGCCUCAUUGAGAAGGUAUCAUCUGAGCAAAGUGAGGAAGGGAAGUGAAUAACUUCCAUGCAAAUCUCUGGGUGAAAAAAGUGCCAGAUUGAGGCCCUAAGUCAAGAGUAUGCCUGCGAACCAACAAGUGGGACUAGAGUAUGAUGAAUAGGGAGAAAUAGUUGGAGAGGAAACCACAGCUUUCUAGACUCUUCUAAAGACUUAAAAUUUUACUUUGAGUGAAAUGAGGAAUCAGUGCAGAGUUUUGAGCAGAAUGACAUAUAGGACAUAUUUUAAAAGGAUCACAUCAGGGAAAAUAAUUGUUGAGAAAUUGGGGAAAAUGACCCAGUUCAUAUGAUAUAUGUCAGCAAAAAUAGGGAGGAAUUAGUGACCUAGUGUGAUGGCAAUAGAUUCAAAGCUGGGUAUUUUAGGGAAGGAAUGGUCUGAAAGCAGCAAUAAGGACUGAGGAUGACAUCUAUCACUGGGUUACUUACAGCCCAGGGGUGCUGGAGUUACGGUUAAGAAACAGCCACCACUUGAGAGAGCUGCAGAGAAAGCAGGUUCACUGGGUAGAGCUAGGUUUCAGUUGAGUGAAGAAGAUGAAGGGAAGAGGAUUUUGCUGCUAAUGGAGCAAGGAAUUUCAAAGGAUUGAAUAGAAGAGUUUUCACCAUUAGAUAGCCUGGGAGAAUGAGACUGAGAAGAGGAUGUGGGGAUUCUUAUUGUGACUAGAGUCCGGGGUUCUGGGUGUGGUCAGAGUCAUAAAUAUAGAUGCACAACAUCAUGGAGUAAGUUGAGAGUAUUUAAGGCAGGGGGCCCUCUAAGGACUUAAGAGUUUAGAUUGGAGAAUAGUGUGGAUGGGUUUCUGAUCAAAGGGAUAGAUGCCCUGGGAGGUAUGGUGUUAGGCUCUUGACUUCAAAUGGAGUGAAAGUGGUCUUAUAUUCAGAAUGUGCUAUAUCUUGACUCCAUGUUGAUAGCCUUGGGGGCUACUGGGGAAGUAGAAUGUCACACUAAAUAUAUUGGCUGCCUCACUUUUGAUUAUUUGGAAGUUUUAUCCUAUUUUAAUGUGUGAAAUGGUGAACCAACUUAAAUUUUGUUCUAGACAAUUACCAACUUGGUUCAAAACCAUUUCUUGGAUAGUUUUAUCUAUCUUCCCCCACAGAUGUGAGAGGCACUCUGACAUAAGUUCCCAUAUAUAUCCUGGAUUUUGUGUAUAUGUGUUUUGUUGGAUUCACAGUUGUGAUUAAUGAAAUAAGUGUCCUUCAAGAAGUAUUAUUUAAGUUAUAGAACUCUUUUCUUAAUGUGAUUUUCUCAAAAGGGAUGUGUUAAAAAUAUGCAACUAUUAUUCUCUGGAGAGGAAUGCUGUCAUUAAAAUUUCUUUGUUCUAAAAGAAAUUGUUUACCAAAAUGUUAUGAGAACAACCUUCUUCAUUAUUUUCCUUCACUGAGCUUGUAAUCCUGCAGAUGUUGGUCACUGCUUUUGUGCUAGCAUGGCCUUCACCAACAAACAAUGAUAUAUCAACACAGUGUAACUCCCAGUAACUCCCAGGAAUAAUCUUAUCACAAAUUGCCAUCUGCUAUAAAGUAAGUGAAUAAUGCAAGGUGAGCAAGUCUUUCUCUGAAGUAACCAGUAGAUCCUGGCAGGGUCCAGUAUUAUAAUUUUACCUGGGCCAUUGUCUUUUUGUGCUGCCAUCAACAGAGUGAGACUACAGUUGAUUAGUAAUAGUGACAGUGAUAGUAAAAACAAAAUACCACUACUACUACUACUACUAAUUAAAUAGGUGUCAGUUUUCGAGUGCCUUAUUAGAUGUUUGUUACUGUGCCAUAGAUGUUGAUAGUGUAUGUUGAAAACAGUAAGAAAUUAUUAUUUUGGUUUUACAGAAGAGUAUAGUAAGGCUCAUGGAAGUUCACUUGCUGAAAUCACAUCACUGGUAAAUGGGAGAGCCAGGGCUACAUAGUGUCUACAAGUCUACUCUGAAGUAGAAUUGUUUUCUCUCUUCUCACUUUACUACUAAAUCAUGUCCAGUUUAGAUAAUUGAUAGAGAAAAUCUCACUAAAAGACUAACUUUCUAAGCAAAUAACAUAAGAACACCUUAUUUUAAUUUUGCAUAAGUAAUUAUCAUUAUCAUUCAAUGUGUUUAAUGCACACAUACUUUAAUCCAUCUGUAAUCCAUUUAUCUAUCAUCUGUCUAUUCAACCAUCCCUCCCUCCAUCUAUCAUCUAUGGUAGAAUCAAUUCACAUACAUUAUUAUAAAGAUAGCAAAGACAUAAAAUAAAAUAUAUUGGGCAGCCCGGGUGGCUCAGCGGUUUAGCGCCACCUUCAGCCCAGAGCGUGAUCCUGGAGACCCCUGAUCAAGUCCCACUUCGGCUCCCUACAUGGAGCCUGCUUCUCCCUCUCUCUGUGUCUCUGCCUCUCUUUCUCUCUCUCUCAUGAAUAAAUAAAUAAAAUCUUUAAAAUAUAUAUAUAUUAAAAAUUAUUUUUAAAGGUAUAUGCUUUAACCUUAUAAAAUCCAGGACUAUGGAAGCCCCAAUGACAAAAUCUAUAAUCGAGUGCCUUUUACCUGGUUUUUAUAAAACACACACCUCAAGAGACAGCAUCUUUAUUAGUAAUGCUUAAGGGAAUUUAAGGAUGAAAGUUCAGUUUUAUCAGAUUGUGAGGUCUGUAUUCUGAUUUCCCACAAGUAAUGAGUGGAUUUUUAAGCAUUUCGUUUUCAUUUUCACAUAAAACAUAACUUGGAUUUUAAUUUUUCAGAGAAAAUGUAAUUAAAUAGUAGUCUAAGGCAUCAGAAAGAGAAAAACCAGUGCCUUCAUUUUUGUUUUAUUUUUUUAAGAGUUUUUUUUUUAAGAUUUUUAUUUUUUAUUUUUUAAAAAAUACUUAUAUAUUUUUUAUUUCUAUUUUUAUUAUUUUUAAAUAUUUCAUUUAUUUAUUCAUGAGAGACACAGAGAGAGAGACAGAGAGGCAGGCAGAGGGAGUAGCAGGCCCCAUGCAGGGAGCCCGAUGUGGGACUCCAUCAGGGGGUCUCCAGGAUCAGGCCCUGGGCCAAAGGCGGUGCUAAACUACUGAGCCUCCCGGGGUGCCCAUUAAAGAUUUUAUUUUAUUUAUUUAUUUAUUUAUUUAUUUAUUUAUUUAUUUAUUUAUUUAUUUUUAUUUAUUUAUGAGAGAGAGAGAUUGAGAGACAGAAGCAGAGACAUAGGCAGAGGGAGAAGCAGGCUCCAUGCAAGGAGCCAGAUGUGGACUUGAUCCCAGAACUCUGGCAUCACACCCUGCACAGAAGGCAGGCGCCCAACCACUGAGCCACCCACACGUCCCUCAUACAGUAGUGUUUUUUCAUUGACAUGAAUGUGUUCUACAUAUUGUUCAGAUUAUUGAUUUUUACUCAGUAUGCUAAUGCAUUUUUGUUCAAGUUUUUUUUUUCUUUUUUCUUUUUGCACUGUGUUGGGUGGUAUGGGGUUUUAACUCUGUGGUCCAAACUAAAAGUCACAGUAACAAGAAUUCUAAUAAAAGACGGAUUUCCCAUUGUGUUCCAGCUAUAAUUACCUCAAUUCCUUGCCUUGAAUAUGCUAAUGUCUCUCCUGCUUCAGGGCAUCUACAUUAGUUUCCUUGUCCAGGAACCCAUGGAGCUCAGAUAGCCACAACUCUCCUCCCCUUAGUCAGGAUUUCUUUCAUCUCUUACUAUCUGGAGUCUUUUUCACAGGACUUUCUACAAGAGUGUCUCCUUCACUCUGUAACCCUGGAUCUUGCUCUUCUUUGUGAAUGUAGGACCAUCUCAUACAGUACAUUGUGUAUUUGUUUAUUGAUGCCCUUCCAUUUGAAUAUAAAUUACAUUUUAUUACAGAUUAUUUUUGUUUACUAAUGCAUUGUUAGAACCUAAGGCAGUCUGGCACCUAAUGGAUACUCCAAAAACAUUUGUUAAUUGUGUUGAGUUUUUAAUGUUCGAAUGCUUCUGAGUUCUCUUCCUUCACUUUGCUAUGUUCCAAAUAUCUAUGAGAGAAUAUCCAUGAUCUAUGAGAGAAGCAGCUCUUGAUUUUUUCUUUCUUUCUUUGAAAUAGAGUACUCAUACAUUGAUUUAUGGAUAAUGCUUAUGAAAGCAGUCAAGUUCUUUUCAGUUAUAAGAUAUUGUUUAACAUUUUGAUGGUAGUAAUUUAUAAAAUAUCUUGAACCUAUAUUAGCAUUUUAGCUCUAUUUUUAACAGAGCACUUUUACUUAUAUUGCUGAAAGCUCACUUCUAAAUAUUUAACCUUAAAAUCGUGAAAAGUGUUCUUAAAAGAUUUGAAAUUUCACUAUUGUAGUUUAUUUGCUUGUUGUUGAUAUAUUCUAAGUAUUUGAACUUAGAUUCAUUGGGAAAAACAUUCUAAGAUUUGUUGUCUUUUUAUUGACAGGCAGUCUGCCUCUGUUGGAAGUUGGUCUUCAUAGAAAGUCAUUUAGACCAUUUAACAAGAGAGGAAACCCAUUAAAAAUAUGCAAGCUCUUGGAAAACAAAAUCCGUAUACUAAUUAGACCUAUUAAGGCAAUUAUAGAGCACUAUUAGUGAUGCAAAAGUUAUGUUGCGCUCCUCAUGGUACCUAUGCCAAAAAGCCAUGACGUUCCUAUUUUUUCUAAAUAGAGUGUGAGUGAUCAAUUUCAGCACCACUGUGUUAAUUUGCAAUGAGUCAACAGCAGAAGACAUUUCUAUGGGCAUAGAAUAAUGGUAGAAGAUGGUUAUUUUACCACUCAAUGACAAUACAGCUUUGUCAGGCAAUGCUUUAGUAAUGAAGAGACAACUACAACCACCUGUUAACAAGGAAGAAGAAAUAUAAAGAGUUUCCGAAACUGUGGUCUUUAGUUGCAGCCAAAGCUCUGAGGUUUCUCUGACUAGUGUGCACAUUCAGAUGAUUCCUAACUGCUGCCUUAAUAGCUUUUGAUGAGUGAUCAAAACAUUAUGAUCUCUGUUUCAGAAGACAGCUUCAAGCUUAUGACCUAGUAAUAGGAAUUUUAAACCUGUUCUUUGGAAGGCACUAAUAAUUGUGUGGGGCUCUGGAAAACCAUGUCAUUUAAGGAAUAUAAAAAAUGAGGCAGUGGUCAACAAAACCUUAGAAAAUGCUGUCCCUAAAGGCUUGUGAGAAACUCUUUAAGUACUUAAAAAAAAGAGAGAGAAUCUCAGUUAAUGUUUAUAGCCACUCUCAAGCAAUAAGACAGGGGAUAUAACUAUCCCCACUCUUUAGAUGAAUGCUUGAGGCAGAAAAGUUAAGAGAUAUCUUUCCCUAAGAGCUUUCAGUAAGGGAAGAGAAAUAUUAUUAUUUUUAAAGAUUUUGUUUAUUUAUUCAUGAGAAACACACAGAGAGAGGCAGAGACACAGGCAGAGGGAGAAGCAGGCUUCCCACAGGGAGCCGGAGGUGGGACUCCGUCCUGGAACCCCAGGAUCACGCCCUGAGCCAAAGGCAGUGGCUCAACCACUGAGCCACCCAGGUGCCCUGGGAGGAGAAAUAUUAGAUCAAGGCUUGGGUUUCCAAACUCCUGGUCGGGCACAAGAUGGUUACGGUGAGAUGGUCCUUGAUACCAUGUGAUUAUUUCUGCAAUCUCAGUUGCCUAAAUGAUUUUUUAUUUGUUUGUGCCUUGAAGCAUCACACAUAGCAGAAGGGUAAUUAUUAUUAUUCACCAAAUGACAGCAGAUGUUCAAAGUCACUUAGGGCAGAAUAAGCGUGAAGGAAGGACAACCAGCAGCAUAUGUGCUGAUGUAAUAUCUAUUAGAGUCCUCCUCCGUGGUUUUGCCAGGGAAUGGAAGCGAUCAACAGAUCAGAUGCUCAAGGCUGCAGAGGCUCAGACAAUGCUCACCUCCACAGCUAAUCACAGCAAAACAACUUAGUGGUUUUAGUUUUGCAUUAGUGAUUCUUAUUUCCAUUUAAUGUGUUCAUAAAAACCAUGUGUGUACAUUUUAAUUGGUAUGCCCCACUACAGAAUAAAGUGAUAUAGGAAGACAAACCUGGACUACCCACAAUUAAUGGACUGUUUUGGCUUCAUAAGACCCAGAACUUAGGAAUCCCAAUUGCAAAGACACAGCUAAUGGAGUUGCUUUUACCCAGUUGCUGCAGCACACAUUCCUCAAGCGUGGAUAUUUCUUAACUGAGGUCUUAUUAAACCUAACAACUUUUUUGAAAAAAAUUCUUAUGACAAAGUGCAGAUUAUUAAUAGUAUAAAAUAAAUUCCUCAGGGAGUCUGUAGUCUGUGGACUGAACAGUUCAGCUUUGGUCUGUCUUCAAAUUGCCUAUCCCAUAGAGUUCAUAACCUGAAAGUGCACUGACCAGGUAAGGCUUUUUUACUAAAUUUCCACUGCAGACUAAGAAGAGAAGCACUGAAAGCAGAAACCUUCUAUUUCAUCAUUUUAGCACUCUUGCUUAAUAUCACACCACAGGUAUUGAAGAAGGUAUUCAUGGUGCAUGAAUCAAACAACUUUAUGUCAGACUGAUGAAUAGUCAAUGUAUUGAACAAGAGAGUGUCCCCUGUGAUCCUGAAACAGCUAACUGGGAAGAGGACUGUGGCUUUGGAGUAUUCACACAAGGGACAUGGUGAAAGUUGUAGAUUAUUCUAAUUUUAUACCUUUUAAAGGAUUAAUAAAACUUCUGGAGAAGACAUAGAAAGCUAUGGACUACAGAAAAGAAAAGAAGGAUAUAUCCAAUUAAGAACUUGGUUGCUAGAUGAUGUCAUUUCUAGAGAAUGGUUUAAGAUUAUCAAAAUGAUGAGCUCAUACUGGAAAAGUGGAGCUCUAAGGAUGGAGAAAAUUCAUUUGCUAAGAGAUCUGCCGCUGGACCAGCUGAAAAUAGACAAGGGAUUCUAAAAUAUGUGAAUAUAUUGUUACCCUAAACUGAUCUAGAAGGGAAUAACCUGGAGAAACUUCCAAAUAGGUCAUA